CUGUAUAAUUGGGCCUUAAGCCCACAUGGAAGAUGUAUUAGAGAGCUUAUAGAAUAUGUGAACAAGAGCCCCCAAUUUAUAGGAUUACAAAGUGUGUACUACUAAAAAAACUAACAUAUGUAUUGAACCACCUUCCUGACAUGGGUACACAUAAAAAAAAAGAAAAUAUUGUUCCCAAAAUAACUGCAGGUUUUGAUAUUUCCAUACUCUCCCUCAAACUCAGGAUGUGUUAAGAGAGAGUAACUUGAGACAAUUGAAGGUACGCUUUAGUAACAAAGUAGGAGUAGA
rnacentral:lncRNA from 1 species